rnacentral:rRNA from 1 species
ACACGACUACAUUAGAUACCCGGGUAGUCCUAGCCGUAAACGAUACUCGCUAGGUGUCGGCCACGGUGCGACCGUUGUCGGUGCCGUAGGGAAGCCGUGAAGCGAGCCACCUGGGAAGUACGGCCGCAAGGCUGAAACUUAAAGGAAUUGGCGGGGGAGCACAACAACGGGCGGAGUUUGCGGUUUAAUUGGAUUCAACGCCGGAAAUCUUACCGGGACCGACAGCAACAUGAAGGCCAAGCUGAAGACUUUGCCGGAUUAGCUG